UUUCCGUAGGUGAACCUGCGGAAGGAUCAUCACAGUGUUCUCUGCCCUCACGGGUAGAAACGCCCACCCUUGUAUAUUAUAUCUUUGUUGCUUUGGCAGGCCGCCCUCGGGCACCGGCUCCGGCUGGAUCGCGCCUGCCAGAGGAAACCCAAACUCUGAAUGUUAGUGUCGUCUGAGUACUAUCUAAUAGUUAAAACUUUCAACAACGGAUCUCUUGGUUCUG
rnacentral:misc_RNA from 1 species